rnacentral:lncRNA from 1 species
AUUAAUUAAUUUAGAGAAAGAAAGUGUGAUUGUGAUAAUAGAGAUUAUUGCAUUGUGAUAGUAGCAUUGGAAGAUUGAGUAAAAGUAAAGGAAUUGAGAAUUGAAGUACUGUGGAAAGAGAUUAAGCAUCCUGUAGAUGUUAGGAAUGUCAGUGAUAUUGAGUAGCUGCAAGGCAGUGAACGAUUGUAGAGAUUGUGAAGGGAUUGAAUUGAGAUGAGGAAGAGAACUUUGGAAGUUUU